UGUCCAGUGCGGGAAUCGAACCCACACCCUUCUGCUUACCGGGCAGGUGCCCUGUUGCCGAGUGGACAAGGCACCUGCC